rnacentral:rRNA from 1 species
UACGAAGGGGGCUAGCGUUGCUCGGAAUUACUGGGCGUAAAGCGCACGUAGGCGGCUCUUUAAGUCGGGGGUGAAAUCCUGGAGCUCAACUCCAGAACUGCCUUCGAUACUGUAGAGCUUGAGUUCGGGAGAGGUGAGUGGAACUGCGAGUGUAGAGGUGAAAUUCGUAGAUAUUCGCAAGAACACCAGUGGCGAAGGCGGCUCACUGGCCCGAUACUGCGCUGAGGUGCGAAAGCGUGGGGAGCAAACAGG